rnacentral:tRNA from 1 species
GCGCUGGUGGUGUAAGGCGAACAUCGCUGCCCGGAAAGCAGAAGAUGCGGGUUCGAGUCCCGCCUAGCGCA